rnacentral:rRNA from 1 species
GGGGGCCUGCGAGUCUGCCUCACGGGUAGUCUCCCACCCUUGAAUAACAUACAAUGUUGCUUUGGCGAGCGCUUCGGCGGCCGCCAGAGGACCCUAAACUCUUGUUUACAGUGUCGUCUGAGUACUAUACAAUAGUUAAAACUUUCAACAACGGAUCUCUUGGUUCUGGCAUCGAUGAAGAACGCAGCGAAAUGCGAUAAGUAAUGUGAAUUGCAGAAUUCAGUGAAUCAUCGAAUCUUUGAACGCACAUUGCGCCCCUUGGUAUUCCGGGGGGCAUGCCUGUUCGAGCGUCAUUAUAACCCCUCAAGCUCAGCUUGGUGUUGGGGCCUGCCUACUGGCAGCCCUUAAAAUCAGUGGCGGCGCCAUCUGGCUCUAAGCGUAGUAAUUUCUCUCGCUAUAGGGUCCCGGUGGAUGCUGGCCAGCAACCCCCAAUUUUUUAAUGGUUGACCUCGGAUCAGGUAGGGAUACCCGCUGAACUUAAGCAUAUCAAUAAGGCGGAGGAA